AAUUUUGUACAGUGGCAGUGUCGUAGCCAAUGAGAUUUAUCUGAGGCGUGAUUAUUGCUAAUUGAAACAGUUCAGUGACAUGAAAGGCAAUUAAAGCUAGACUAGAAAUCACAAAAGAAAUAUGAAAUAUUCCACAGAUU